GUAUCGAAGCCGCGAACGCGCCCGCCUCCAGCCGACGAACGAACCCGAACCCGGAACCGCCCGCGCGCUCGAACCUGGAACCGCCCGCGCGCCCGAACCCGGAACCGAACCCGCGCCCGUGCCACACGUGCCUGACUCUCCCGCGUGCAAGCGCGCCGCGCCGUGUGUUCCGCGUAGCCGAGCCGCGUCCCCUCCCUGUAGCAAGCCGAGCCGCACGCGAAGUCCCCAUACCGAGCCGAGCCGCGUCUGCACCAAGCCGAGCCGGUCCUGCCUUCUUCCAGCCGAGCCGCCAAGCCUGUUUUGGCUCCUUCCACCUAAAUUUUUGGUAAUUUCCAAAUUCCCUAGCCUGCCCAGUAAUUAAAUGAGUUAAUUUGGAAAUUUAAUUAAUUUAAUUACUUUCCUCAAGAAGCAAAUUGGACCAAAUAGCUGCUGCAGCUUAGGACUUCCUCAGUAGGAACUCAUCUAGCAACAUCUCGAGGUAGAGGACGAGGCAAGGGCAAGGGCAAGCUGGCGAGCGACGUGAAGUGACCGUGGCGAGCCAUAGGGGUUUUCCUGCUUCCGCACAUGUUUUACUUUACAGUUAAAUUCAUGUUUCGGCUUUCUGCAUGUUUACUUUGGUUAUUUUUGUAGAUAGGGCCCGCUUAGGGAUUUUAAACUUAACUCGUAUUUCUACAUGUUACUUUAACUAUCUUUCAUAAAUACAUUUGCUAGAUUUCUUUGCAUUUAUUUA